rnacentral:misc_RNA from 1 species
GUUCGAAGCAUAUACACCACAGUAGAUUCUCCACGCCUCACCAGAUUUGCUCUUCAACCUCCUAAAUUUGUGGAGGUGGAGUUUGAAAACGGUAGUCUGUAUAAGUUGUCAGCUGAGUAUUUGAGAAUAUACAGCCCCGCUGUUGAUAGUAAGAUCAGAUCGAUUUGCGGUGAGAAGGUCAUAUCUGGUAGGCGUCAUGUCGGAAUUAUGUCUGCAGAACCUAUUGGAAAUUAUGGAGUGAGGUUAUUAUUUGAUGACUUGCAUAAGACUGGAAUCUUUACAUGGGACUACUUCUACCAUCUUGGAAGUAACAAAUUUGCCCUCAUGAGAAAUUACAUCAGAACUCUGAAGAAACAUGGACUAAGCCGCGAUCCACCUAGACGAAGAUGACCUUAAGACGUGCCCAUGAGAAGGCUGAUCCACACUAUUUAAGCUGGAAACAUCCUCCUUAUAUAUGCUCAGAGUGAAAUUGUGACAUAAAACUGUACUGUUGCAAAUAUUCUAAAGACUAGCUCUUGAUAUGUUAUCAUAUGUUCAGGGAUAUUUGUGGUGUGCUAUUUUCUAGAUCUAGAGAUUGAC